GAGUUUGAUCGUGGCUCAGAUUGAACGCUGGCGGCAGGCCUAACACAUGCAAGUCGAGCGGAUGACGGGAGCUUGCUCCUUGAUUCAGCGGCGGACGGGUGAGUAAUGCCUAGGAAUCUGCCUGGUAGUGGGGGACAACGUUUCGAAAGGAACGCUAAUACCGCAUACGUCCUACGGGAGAAAGCAGGGGACCUUCGGGCCUUGCGCUAUCAGAUGAGCCUAGGUCGGAUUAGCUAGUUGGUGGGGUAAUGGCUCACCAAGGACGACGAUCCGUAACUGGUCUGAGAGGAUGAUCAGUCACAACUGGAACUGAGACACGGUCCAGACUCCUACGGGAGGCAGCAGUGGGGAAUAUUGGACAAUGGGCGAAAGCCUGAUCCAGCCAUGCCGCGUGUGUGAAGAAGGUC
rnacentral:rRNA from 1 species